AAAAGAAACUUGUGAUCCCUCAUCUUGAAGUCCUGGAAAACAGCCCUGGACAGAUGGCUAUUUCUUUACAAUUGCAUCGAACCCACUUAUGGAAUAUAGAGGUAGAACUGUAAGCAGAGCACCCAUGCAGCAUCUCUGUCAUGAACUUCAGAUUAGAGCACUGAGGAUCAUGGAUAAGGAAGAGGCUCUCAGAGUCUAAGGAAGACAACAGACAAUGUUAUAGAAAAUGAGUUUAUGGGAUGAAUAUGAAGAUGAGAGAGAAUCUGUGGAAUUUUGAGAAGAGAGAAUCCAACAAAUUGCCUCUGUUAUUUGAAUUGCUGUGGUAUUGAGAGAGGAUUGAAGAAGGAAGACACUGCCAAAUCACUGGGGUUUGUGAAAACUUGGUGAGAAAUUUCUUCCUUGAGUCACGGCAGACCCAGGGAGUUGCCUAAGAAUCUUCUGUGAUGCGUUAAGCCAGCCAGCCUGUCAGUGAGCCUUAGUGUAUUUUGGGUUAUCCUCAGAAGAAAACAA